AGUGAACGCUGGCAGUAGGCCUAACACAUGCAAGUCGAACGGCAGCACAGAGGAGCUUGCUCCUUGGGUGGCGAGUGGCGGACGGGUGAGGAAUACAUCGGAAUCUACUCUGUCGUGGGGGAUAACGUAGGGAAACUUACGCUAAUACCGCAUACGACCUACGGGUGAAAGCAGGGGAUCUUCGGACCUUGCGCGAUUGAAUGAGCCGAUGUCGGAUUAGCUAGUUGGCGGGGUAAAGGCCCACCAAGGCGACGAUCCGUAGCUGGUCUGAGAGGAUGAUCAGCCACACAGGAACUGAGACACGGUCCAGACUCCUACGGGAGGCAGCAGUGGGGAAUAUUGGACAAUGGGCGCAGGCCUGAUCCAGCCAUACCGCGUGGGUGAAGAAGGCCUUCGGGUUGUAAAGCCCUUUUGUUGGGAAAGAAAUCGAGCCGGCUAAUACCUGGUUGGGAUGACGGUACCCAAAGAAUAAGCACCGGCUAACUUCGUGCCAGCCGCCGCCGUAA
rnacentral:rRNA from 1 species